GAGCGAGCGGGACUACCGCGUCUUCGGCAGAUCUACCUGGUCGGGCGCCGAAGUGGUUGGGCGGGAGGAGCUGGAGCGUGUCUGCGA
rnacentral:misc_RNA from 1 species